CACCCACCCACCCAGCGAUACCAGCACAGGGUCCAGGUCGGGUCAGCGGGGGCGAGUGUCCUCACCCCACCCCACCCCCGCAAGAUUCCUGCUGCAACUGUAACUGCCACCGGAGCUGUAUUAAGAGCUGGCUGACUGGGCCCUGGCGUGACGAUGCACGCUUGUGAUCUCUGCACUAGAGAGGCUGAGGCAGGAGGAUCUCCACGAGUUCAAGGCCAACCUGGGCUACAUAGUGAGUUCAAAAAGAGAGUUGACCGGGCUGGAACCAUGGUGAAUGGAUUAAUGUGUGGAGAGGAUCAGUUACCACAGGAGUGAGUUCAGGAUAAAGGGUAGGUUUGGUCCCCAGACUUCAUCUGGAGCUGCCCCACCACCUUCUGCUCUGGGUCCCCAGAUGCCAGCGCUGUGCUGGGCCUUCCCUACUAGACACUGAGCCCAAGCAGAGGACACCCAGGGCCCAGCCUGGCACACCGGGUCUGCGGAGUCAGAGCCGCCCCUGAGACUACACCAGGCCUAGUGACUGGGCCCCAGGUGCGAGGAAGCUCCUCGGAGGCCAGGCUGAGGACGCAUGUGUUUGAAAGGCCACUGCCCCCUCUGCAGAGUAACCUUGUGUGGCCCCAGCUGGGGCUGGCUCCCUGGAUGCUCCCAUGGCCCUGCCCCACACACGCUGGACAAUGAGCGUCCGUUGUCCCAGGGCAGCGGCCUCAGUCACUGGCUCCCUGCAGCUGGGCCCUCCCUUCCGCUCCUCCCGAGAUGCCACCGUAUCUGUAUCAGAGAACUGCGGCACUGGCCCGGGAUCUGUCCUCCAAGCUGCAACACCCAAGCAGCCCAUGCCCCGAGGGAAGGGGCAAGGCCUCUGGAGCCCAGCAGGGCUCUUUCCAGCAGAGCCCUCAGGAGACCCCCACCCUGCCUGGUCACACAAGGUCCCCAGGUGGGCAGAGCGGGGCUGGAGGACCCUGGGCGUUGCUCUCUGGGAACAGCCACAUGCCCAAGGUGUGCUGGGAGCUUGGGGCGUCAGGUGCGGAGUGGCCCGUGUGUGCUUCUAGUUCCUCUUUCCCAAAUCCUGUUGCUGUAAACUAAAGGGCAGCCAGUUCUGAGGAGUGGGGCAGCGCUUGUGAAAAUCCCACUGGUGUCUGGUCAGGUUCCCCUUCCCUGAGCUGCCCUGCCAGUUGGGAUAUAGUGGGGUGGGGGUUCCCACUCUUCCCCUCUAGAACCUGCUCCUUGGAACCUGGGCAGAGCCCCCGCCGGAGCCCAGUGGAGGAGCAGGCUUGGGGACAGUCCCUCAGGCAGCAGGGAUCUACCUGCCCAGCUCGGAGGCUGAGUCAAGGUCCAGGUGUGGCAGGGCUGGUGUCCUAGAGGCCGCUCCCCUCGGCUUGUACCUGGCUGUCUUCUCCCUGUGUCUUAAUCUCUAUGAGGACGCCAGACCUACUGGAUUGGGGCCCCCACGAGUGGACUCAUUUUACUUUAUGUUUUAGAUUCUGAUACAGGGUAUCGCUAUGGAGCCCAGGCUGGCCGUGAACUCAAUGGCAGUUCUCCUGCCUCAGCCUCAAGCACUGGGAUUACAGGCCUGCACCCCCCUGCCUGGCUAAUGACCCCAUUUUAAUUUAAUUACUUCUUGGAAGUCCCAGUCUCCCAUACAGUCACAGUCUCAGGUUCUGAGGGUUGGGAUUUCAACAGAAGAACUUCAGGGGACCUGCAGUUCAGCCUGUAACCACCUCAGAGGGGGAAGAAGCCGGCCCGGGCCUGGCGUCUGGGAGAAGCAGUGGGUGUUGCCUUCCCAGGGACCUGCUUGGUGUGGGGCUCCAGAGUCCUCCAGACAGAUUCCCCCAGCCCUGGCAUCCCCGCGGCCUCAGCGUUACAGGUUUGGGGAGGAGGGACCUCGUCAGCCGACUGCUUUGACCCCCGCCCCAGUCCCCCGUCCCCCCUGGUGGGAGCAUCUGGGAAGGAACCGGACCCCCUGCCAUUCUUCCUGCCUCUCACGCCCGCUGCAAGGCAGAUUUCAGGGUCUCUGGGCAUUUGAGGUCAGCUCGAGGCCCCAUCUCUUCCUGUGAAAUGUGGGGCGCAGGGGUCCACGCAGGCCGCUGUCCUGAACCAGAACUGCUCACAUCCGGGCCUCAGGGCCCCCUCGGGCCUCAGCAGCUUCUGGGCUCUGACCCGGUAACUGCCUGGCCUCUUCCACACGGACAAGUGAGUCACAUCUGACUGCACUGCGGGGUACGGGCCAGAACCGGAAGUGUCCCGGUCCAAGUCCGGAAGCGGGAAUUUCGCUGCGCAUGUCUUCCGGCGAACCUUCUAGGCUCCCUCAGAGGUCCCAGACACCAGCUUGCUCCUCGCCCUUCGGUUGGGACGCAGGCACCGUCAGCCCCUUCCUGUUCUCUCCAGCGCGCCCUGGAGCAAGUCUGGAAGACCCAGCUGCCGCAGGUUAGGGGAUUUCGUGAGCCAACAGUGAGACCUCGCCGUCGCUGAAAAUGAAAUCGCAUUAAAAGAAAAGCGGCAAGUACUCCAAGCUGGUGGUCCUAACAUUCUCUGCCGUGUGCCCGAGGUUUCUUACUGUGAGGCGGAAAUGCUACGGGGUGGUCAGACUUUGUCCCCGCCGCAGGCGUCCUGGGCCGGCCGAGCUGCCACCGCGGGAGUGGCGCACAGGGCGUGGUCUGUCCCAGGCUCUCCAGACUGCGGUGACGGUCAGGUACUCACUCUGCUGGCCUUUCGGACUUUGCCUCCUUGGUGGACACCGCCGAACUCCACUGCAACAGCCUUGGGCAAUGAGAGCGGUAGCUGGGUGGCAAUAAAACUUUAUUGUAAAACA